rnacentral:rRNA from 1 species
GACGUAGGGCGCGAGCGUUGUCCGGAUUUAUUGGGCGUAAAGAGCUCGUAGGCGGCUUGUCGCGUCGUCCGUGAAAACCUGCAGCUCAACUGCAGGCUUGCGGUCGAUACGGGCAGGCUAGAGUUCGGUAGGGGAGACUGGAAUUCCUGGUGUAGCGGUGAAAUGCGCAGAUAUCAGGAGGAACACCGGUGGCGAAGGCGGAUCUCUGGGCCUUACCUGACGCUCAGGUGCGAGAGCUAGGGGAGCGAACAGG